rnacentral:rRNA from 1 species
UACGAAGGGGGCUAGCGUUGCUCGGAAUCACUGGGCGUAAAGCGCACGUAGGCGGAUCGUUAAGUCGGGGGUGAAAUCCUGGAGCUCAACUCCAGAACUGCCUUCGAUACUGGCGAUCUUGAGUCCGGAAGAGGUGAGUGGAACUCCUAGUGUAGAGGUGGAAUUCGUAGAUAUUCGCAAGAACACCAGUGGCGAAGGCGGCUCACUGGCCCGUUACUCGACGCUGAGGCACGAAAGCGUGGGG